UACGGAGGGUGCAAGCGUUGUCCGGAUUUAUUGGGUUUAAAGGGUGCGUAGGAGGGCAGGUAAGUCAGUGGUGAAAUCUCCGAGCUUAACUUGGAAACUGCCGUUGAUACUAUCUGUCUUGAAUCCCGUGGAGAUGAGCGGAAUAUGUCAUGUAGCGGUGAAAUGCUUAGAUAUGACAUAGAACACCAAUUGCGAAGGCAGCUCGUUACUACGAAGAUUGACUCUGAGGCACGAAAGCGUGGGGAUCAAACAGG
rnacentral:rRNA from 1 species